CUUAUCAACUUCGUGAAAAACGAAAUCCCCAAUUUUUCCCACUCUCCAAAAAUUCGUUUCCCCCCUAAAUUACUCAAAAUUUUAGAAUGGAUUCACAUAUAAGUUUUAGUUCCCCCUUUUGUUUUCUCUUUUCUAUGUAAUCUCCUGACCUGAUUCUAUUUUUUUAGCCAAACUUAGGGUUUCAUCAAAUCUCUGCCUCUCUUAAGGGUUAUUUGGAAGUCCAUUUGGAGGAGUCACUGUGUUCAAAGAUGGAAACCUUUUAAGCAUCUACAGAUACAAACGUUUCUUCAUCUCAAACUGGUGAAUCUGCUUAUACUUUUUCAACUACUCAAGCUAAUGUUAUUGCUAAGCUAAAGUUGGUGGUAAAUGUAGAUGCAUAUGGGCUACUUGUUGGCGACAAUGUAAACAAAUUAGCUAAUCAGGCUGGCAAACUUGUCCGAGUAUAUUGUACGGUGAAAUACCUGGAUUGGAGGGAGGUUCCAGAGAACUUGAAAGAAGAUGUGUGGUUUAAGUUAAUGGUGCUCGUGGAUUAUCUAAAGAUUGAAAGACCAAGUACUGCAAUUCUUAAAAGGGUGGAAAUUAUUUGAGAAGGUGCUCCUAAGAAGAAGAAAGAGGAAUCUAACAGUGAAGGAGAAUCAUCUUCUGAUGAUGAGGUUCCUGUUACAAAGCAAGCAGCAGCUAAGAAAUCAAAACCAGAAUCUAGAAGCUCUGAAUCAGAUUUGAUGGUGAUUCUGAGGAAGAGGUUAAACCCAAGGAUUCUGCUCCAGUUAAAAAGGAUGCAGCUGCUCCAGCGAAGAAUGCAAAUUUCAAGAAGAAAGAGAAGUCAAGUAGUGAUGAUAGUUCCGGUGAUUCAAGCUCUGAGGAUCGAGUUGCAAAGAAAGCUGCUGCUCCUGCACCAGCAGCAAAGAAGCAAGAAUCCAGAGAUGAUGACAGUUCAGAUGAUUCAUCAAAUAUCUUGUAUUAAUUUCAAAAGGUUUCAUGGCACAAACGAGGGGACAAGCUGGGUUAGAUGCGAAUGGCAAGCAACAAUCCACUACUCAUGAAUGUAUUACCAACAUGCUGACAUAAACUUGUACUAGAAACAACAUCACAUAAUGGUAUUCUGAUGCCCAUACACGAUCAAGCUUGGAAUCUUAUGCUAUCACAUCUCCAGCAAGGGGAACCAGUUCACAAUGUCAAUGAAGAAGUCCUCUUGGAGGUACAACUGAACACCGGCACCGACCACAUAUAUAGGUUACCUCUAUGAUGUUGGAAUGCUAGUUAGAUAUAAAGCAGGGAUAUCGUCUGUGUAGUAAUGCACACUAGCUAAAUCAGUUUUCUUUUACACCUGACUGUGUAGUAUGUA